rnacentral:rRNA from 1 species
GUGCAUGGUUGUCGUCAGCUCGUGUCGUGAGAUGUUGGGUUAAGUCCCGCAACGAGCGCAACCCUUGUCUUUAGUUGCCAGCACGUAAAGGUGGGAACUCUAGGGAGACUGCCGGUGACAAACCGGAGGAAGGUGGGGAUGACGUCAGGUCAUCAUGGCCCUUACGGCCAGGGCUACACACGUGCUACAAUGGCGCGCACAGAGGGCUGCAAACUCGCGAGGGUAAGCCAAUCUCUUAAAACGCGUCGUAGUCCGGAUCGCAGUCUGCAACCCGACUGCGUGAAGUCGGAAUCGCUAGUAAUCGCGAAUCAGAAUGUCGCGGUGAAUACGUUCCCGGGUCUUGUACACACCGA